GAUGAAGAACGUAGCGAAAUGUGAUACGUAAUGUGAAUUGCAGAAUUCAGUGAAUCAUCGAGUCUUUGAACGCACAUUGCGCCCUCUGGUAUUCCGGAGGGCAUGCCUGUCCGAGCGUCAUUGCUGCCCUCAAGCACGGCUUGUGUGUUGGGCUCCGUCCCCCGAUCCCGGGGGACGGGCCCGAAAGGCAGCGGCGGCACCGCGUCCGGUCCUCGAGCGUAUGGGGCUUUGUCACCCGCUCUGUAGGCCCGGCCGGCGCUUGCCGAUCAACCAAAUUUUUAUCCAGGUUGACCUCGGAUCAGGUAGGGAUACCCGCUGAACUUAAGCAUAUCAAUAAGCGGAGGA
rnacentral:misc_RNA from 1 species